rnacentral:rRNA from 1 species
UGACCGAUAGUGAACCAGUACCGUGAGGGAAAGGUGAAAAGAACCGUGAAUAACGGAGUGAAAUAGAUCCUGAAACCAUACGCUUACAAGCGGUCGGAGCCCAUAUGGGUGACGGCGUGCCUUUUGCAUAAUGAGCCUACGAGUUACUUUUACUGGCAAGGUUAAGGACUUCAGGUCCGGAGCCGUAGCGAAAGCGAGUCUUAAUAGGGCGAACUAGUCAGUGGGGGUAGACGCGAAACCUUGUGAUCUACCCAUGGCCAGGUUGAAGUUCCAGUAACAUGGAAUGGAGGACCGAACUGAUAUACGUUGAAAAGUGUUCAGAUGAGCUGUGGGUAGGGGUGAAAGGCCAAUCAAACUAG